ensembl:miRNA
UAGUAACUUUGUUAAAAUGCAUACUCUGAUUCAGUAAGUCUGAGUUGGAGCCAAAGAUUUUGCAUUUAUAACAAGUUCCCAGGUGAUGCAGAUGCUGC